ACGCUGGCGGCGUGCCUAAUACAUGCAAGUUGAGCGCUGAAGGUUGGUACUUGUACCAACUGGAUGAGCAGCGAACGGGUGAGUAACGCGUGGGGAAUCUGCCUUUGAGCGGGGGACAACAUUUGGAAACGAAUGCUAAUACCGCAUAAAAACUUUAAACACAAGUUUUAAGUUUGAAAGAUGCAAUUGCAUCACUCAAAGAUGAUCCCGCGUUGUAUUAGCUAGUUGGUGAGGUAAAGGCUCACCAAGGCGAUGAUACAUAGCCGACCUGAGAGGGUGAUCGGCCACAUUGGGACUGAGACACGGCCCAAACUCCUACGGGAGGCAGCAGUAGGGAAUCUUCGGCAAUGGACGAAAGUCUGACCGAGCAACGCCGCGUGAGUGAAGAAGGUUUUCGGAUCGUAAAACUCUGUUGGUAGAGAAGAACGUUGGUGAGAGUGGAAAGCUCAUCAAGUGACGGUAACUACCCAGAAAGGGACGGCUAACUACGUGCCAGCAGCCGCGGUAAUACGUAGGUCCCGAGCGUUGUCCGGGUUUAUUGGGCGUAAAGCGAGCGCAGGUGGUUUAUUAAGUCUGGUGUAAAAGGCAGUGGCUCAACCAUUGUAUGCAUUGGAAACUGGUAGACUUGAGUGCAGGAGAGGAGAGUGGAAUUCCAUGUGUAGCGGUGAAAUGCGUAGAUAUAUGGAGGAACACCAGUGGCGAAGGCGACCACCUGGACUGAUACUGACACUGAGGUGCGAAAGCGUGGGGAGCAAAC
rnacentral:rRNA from 1 species